CCCUGAGAAGGUCUUGGCCUGAAGACACUCACCUCUCUUUCCCCAGGAGUGUCUUUUAGGAAGACAGACAAAUAGCCAGCAGUUCCACAGCGACUCAGGGGACUGCCAGGGUUCAAAUCCUGCUCCUGCUAGAUGCCACUUCUGCUGCUCUUCAUUGCUGCCCUAGACAAGGCCAGGCCCUGCGGCGUGCUGCGAGCCUUCCUUCCGUUAUCUUUACCAGCUCUACAUGGUCAUUCACAGAUGAGAAAGCUGAAGAUCAGAGAGCUCACACAUUUCCCACAAGGUUACACAGUCAGUAAGAGACACUAUCAGGAUUCCAAUGACCUGCUGUUAAAGUUCAUCU
rnacentral:lncRNA from 10 species